rnacentral:misc_RNA from 1 species
AACAUCGCGCACCUGCGGGAACCUGCGGAAGGAUCAUUACCGAGUUUACAAACUCCCAAACCCUUUGUGAACCUUACCUAUCGUUGCUUCGGCGGGAUCGCCCCGGGCCGGCCCUUCACGGGGCCUCCGGAACCAGGCGCCCGCCGGAGAACCCAAACUCUUUGUUUUUAUGGUUUUCUCCUCUGAGUGGAUUAUAAACAAAUAAAUCAAAACUUUUAGCAACGGAUCUCAGAUCGGAAG